rnacentral:rRNA from 1 species
GGUCGCUAAGAGAGCAGCCCGCCCCCGAUUAGCUUGUUGGUAGGGUAACGGCCUACCAAGGCUCCGAUCGGUAGGUGGCCUGAGAGGGUGGUCACUCACACUGGGACUGAGAUACGGCCCAGACUCCUACGGGGGGCAGCAGUCUAGAAGCUUCCACAAUGGACGAAAGUCUGAUGGAGCGACGCCGCGUGUGGGAUGACAGCCGUGAGGUUGUAAACCACUGUCAGCAGGGAAGAAUGCCUUGAUGGUGAAUCAGGGAGAGACGGUACCUGCAGAGGAAGCCCCGGCUAACUCCGUGCCAGCAGCCGCGGUAAUACGGAGGGGGCAAACGUUGUUCGGAUUUACUGGGCGUAAAGGGUGUCUAGGCGGUUCGAUUAGUCUGGUGUGAAAUAUCCUCGCUCAACGAGGAAGACGCAUUGGAAACUGUCGAGCUCGAGAGUGGAAGAGGCAGGUGGAAUUCCUGGUGUAGCGGUGGAAUGCGUAGAUAUCAGGAAGAACACUCGUGGCGAAGGCGGCCUGCUGGUCCAUUUCUGACGCUGAAGCACGAAAGCCAGGGGAGCGAACGGGAUUAGAUACCCCGGUAGUCCUGGCCGUAAACGUUGAACACUGGAUGUCGGGGGUAUCGACCCCCUCGGUGUCGGAGCUAACGCGUUAAGUGUUCCGCCUGGGGAGUACGACCGCAAGGUUGAAACUCAAAGGAAUUGACGGGGGCCCGCACAAGCGGUGGAGGAUGUGGUUUAAUUCGACGCAACGCGAAGAACCUUACCUGGGCUUAAACCGCAGGGUAAACCCUCUGAAAGGAGGGCUGCUUCGGCAAUCCUGUAGAGGUGCUGCAUGGCUGUCGUCAGCUCGUGUCGUGAGAUGUUGGGUUAAGUCCCGCAACGAGCGCAACCCUUGCUCUUAGUUACCAGCGCGUAAUGGCGGGGACUCUAAGAGGACUGCCCUCGCAAGGGGGAGGAAGGUGGGGAUGACGUCAAGUCCUCAUGGCCCUUAUGUCCAGGGCUACACACGUCCUACAAUGGCCGGUACAAAGGGCUGCAAGCUCGCGAGAGUUAGCUAAUCCCAAAAAGCCGGUCCCAGUUCGGAUUGCAGUCUGCAACUCGACUGCAUGAAGGUGGAAUCGCUAGUAAUCGUGG